GCAUAUCAAUAAGCGGAGGAAAAAGAAAACCAACCGGGAUUGCCCUAGUAACGGCGAGUGAAGCGGCAAGAGCUCAAAUUUGAAAGCUGGCUCCUUCGGGGUCCGCAUUGUAAUUUGCAGAGGAUGCUUCGGGAGCGGUCCCCAUCUAAGUGCCCUGGAACGGGCCGUCAUAGAGGGUGAGAAUCCCGUAUGGGAUGGGGUGCCCGCGCCCGUGUGAAGCUCCUUCGACGAGUCGAGUUGUUUGGGAAUGCAGCUCUAAUUGGGUGGUAAAUUUCAUCUAAAGCUAAAUAUUGGCCGGAGACCGAUAGCGCACAAGUAGAGUGAUCGAAAGAUGAAAAGCACUUUGAAAAGAGAGUUAAACAGCACGUGAAAUUGUUGAAAGGGAAGCGCUUGCGAUCAGACUCGCUCGCGGGGUUCAGCCGGCCUUCGGGCCGGUGUACUUCCCCGCGGGCGGGCCAGCGUCGGUUUGGGCGGCCGGUCAAAGGCCCCUGGAAUGUAACGCCUCUCGGGGCGUCUUAUAGCCAGGGGUGCCAUGCGGCCUGCCCGGACCGAGGAACGCGCUUCGGCUCGGACGCUGGCAUAAUGGUCGUAAGCGACCCGUCUUGAAACACGGACCAAGGAGUCUAACAUCUACGCGAGUGUUCGGGUGUCAAACCCGUGCGCGCAGUGAAAGCGAACGGAGGUGGGAACCCCUCGGGGUGCACCAUCGACCGAUCCUGAUGUCUUCGGAUGGAUUUGAGUAAGAGCGUAGCUGUUGGGACCCGAAAGAUGGUGAACUAUGCCUGAAUAGGGCGAAGCCAGAGGAAACUCUGGUGGAGGCUCGCAGCGGUUCUGACGUGCAAAUCGAUCGUCAAAUUUGGGGUAUAGGGGGCGAAAGACUAAUCGAACCAUCUAGUAGCUGGGUUCUGCG
rnacentral:rRNA from 1 species